rnacentral:snRNA from 1 species
GUGCUCACUUCGGCAGCAUAUAUACUAAAACUGGAACGAUACAGAGAAGUUUAGCAUGGCCCCUGCGCAAGGAUGACAAGCAAAUUCGUGAAGCAUUCCAUAUUUUU